AUUGAACGCUGGCGGCAGGCCUAACACAUGCAAGUCGAGCGGAUGAAGGGAGCUUGCUCCUGGAUUCAGCGGCGGACGGGUGAGUAAUGCCUAGGAAUCUGCCUGGUAGUGGGGGAUAACGUCCGGAAACGGGCGCUAAUACCGCAUACGUCCUGAGGGAGAAAGUGGGGGAUCUUCGGACCUCACGCUAUCAGAUGAGCCUAGGUCGGAUUGGCUAGUUGGUGGGGUAAAGGCCUACCAAGGCGACGAUCCGUAACUGGUCUGAGAGGAUGAUCAGUCACACUGGCACUGGGACGCGGUCCAGGCUCCUACGGGUGGCAGCAGUGGGGAAUAUUGGACCACUGGCGAGAGCCUGAUCCAGUCUUGCCGCGUGUGUGAAGAAAGUCUUCGUAUUCUAAAGCACUUUAAGUUGGGAGGAAGGGCAGUAAGUUAAUACCUUGCUGUUUUGACGUUCCCAACAGAAUAAGCGCCGGCUAACUUCGUG
rnacentral:rRNA from 1 species